UACGUAGGGGGCUAGCGUUGUCCGGAUUUAUUGGGCGUAAAGAGCGUGUAGGCGGCCAUGUAGGUCCGUUGUGAAAACUCGAGGCUCAACCUCGAGACGCCGAUGGAAACCAUGUGGCUAGAGUCCGGAAGAGGAGAGUGGAAUUCCUGGUGUAGCGGUGGAAUGCGCAGAUAUCAGGAAGAACACCCGUGGCUAAGGCGGCUCUCUAGUACGGUACUGACGCUGAGACGCGAAAGCGUGGGGAGCGAACAGG
rnacentral:rRNA from 1 species